GGCCCCUUAGCUCAGUGGUUAGAGCAGGCGACUCAUAAUCGCUUGGUCGUUGGUUCGAACCCAACAGGGGCCACCA
rnacentral:tRNA from 2 species